AUUGAACGCUGGCGGCAGGCCUAACACAUGCAAGUCGAAUGGUAACAGGAAACAGCUUGCUGUUUCGCUGACGAGUGGCGGACGGGUGAGUAAUGUCUGGGAAACUGCCUGAUGGAGGGGGAUAACUACUGGAAACGGUAGCUAAUACCGCAUAACGUCGCAAGACCAAAGAGGGGGACCUUCGGGCCUCUUGCCAUCAGAUGUGCCCAGAUGGGAUUAGCUAGUAGGUGGGGUAACGGCUCACCUAGGCGACGAUCCCUAGCUGGUCUGAGAGGAUGACCCGCCCCCCUGGAAAUGAGACACGGGCCAGACCCCUAGGGGAGGCAGAAGGGGGGAAUAUUGCCCAAUGGGCGCAAGCCUGAUGCAGCCAUGCCGCGGGUAUGAAGAAGGCCUUCGGGUUGUAAAUUAUUUUAGGGGGGGAGGAAGGGAGUAAAGUUAAUCCCUUUGCUCAUUGCCGUUCCCCGCAGAAGAAGCCCCGGCUACCCCCGU
rnacentral:rRNA from 1 species